GGGUGUGGAGGUGUGUAGUGGUGUGUGGAGGUGGUGUAGUGGGGUGUGGAGGUGGUGUAGUGGUGUGUGGAGGUGGUGUAGUGGGGUGUGGAGGUGGUGUAGUGGUGUGUGGAGGUGUGUGGAGGUGGUGUAGUGGUGUGUGGAGGCGUGUGGAGGUGGUGUGGAGGCGUGUGGAGGUGGUGUAGUGGUGUGUGGAGGUGGUGUAGUGGUGUGUGGAGGUGUGUAGUGGUGUGUGGAGGCGUGUGGAGGUGGUGUAGUGGGGUGUGGAGGUGGUGUAGUGGUGUGUGGAGGUGUGUAGUGGUGUGUGGAGGUGGUGUAGUGGGGUGUGGAGGUGGUGUAGUGGUGUGUGGAGGUGGUGUAGUGGUGUGUGGAGGUGGUGUAGUGGUGUGUGGAGGUGGUGUAGUGGGGUGUGGAGGCGUGUGGAGGUGGUGUAGUGGUGUGUAGUGGUGUGUGGAGGCGUGUGGAGGUGGUGUAGUGGUGUGUGGAGGUGGUGUAGUGGUGUGUGGAGGUGGUGUAGUGUGGAGGUGGUGUAGUGGGGUGUGGUGGUGUGUGGAGGUGGUGUAGUGGGGUGUGGGUGUGGAGGGAUAAGAUGAGAUGAGUUCUGUUCUGAUGAGAUGAGAUCUGUUCAGAUGAGAUGAAAUGAGUGGGGAGCGGACAGAUGCAUCUCCUGCAGGGACAUCUCUC
ensembl:lncRNA